GCUCAUAGUAGAGCAAAUGGGGUUUUAGCUGUAGCAGCUAGUCCCUGGUUAGGAGAGGACAAGAUUAUCAG
rnacentral:misc_RNA from 1 species